rnacentral:rRNA from 1 species
CAAGAGCGUAUAUUAAAGUUGUUGCAGUUAAAAAGCUCGUAGUUGGAUUUCUGGUACAAUGCGCCUGGCCCGCGACCGUCAGGUCUGUGAGUGCCGGUGCGCGUUUGCCAUCCUUCUAGAAAACGUUUCUACCCUUCACUGGGCCGGAUUCGCGAUCUAGAUCUUUUACUUUGAAAAAUUAGAGUGUUUAAAGCAGGCUUUUGCUAUGAAUACAUUAGCAUGGAAUAAUGGAAAAGGACUUCAACCUCUUCUGUUGGUCUGAGGGGUGUAAGUAAUGAUUAAUAGGGAUAGUUGGGGGCAUUAGUACUUAACUGUCAGAGGUGAAAUUCUCGGAUUUGUUAAAGACUAACUUAUGCGAAAGCAUUUGCCAAGGAUGUUUUCAUUAAUCAAGAACGAAAGUUAGGGGAUCAAAGAUGAUUAGAUACCAU